AGAACCUCUUCUGACACCACACCAGUGGUAGCUGCACUACACAAGCAUUAAGGCUCAGAAUCCUUCUGAAAUACUUACCCAAACCUAAACUAGCUAAGCCAUUAGUCUCCAAGCAAAAUCCUCUUCAGCUCAGACAGGUCAUGAUGAUUCUUUAUUGUGGUGAAAAUCAAGAAGUGAUGCUGCUUGGUGUAGUAGAAAAUGAGUAUAGAGGGAGCAAACUUUUCACAUCAAGAAAUACAUAGAAAGAAGAGAAACAGCAAACCAGAAAAUUGAAAAUAUGAGAUCCUGCAGAGAUGUUAAACGCAGUUUUUAUUUUGCAGAGAUUUAUUAUGCAGUUUAAGUUAAUACAGCUUUUCCUACAACUCAAAAGAUACCAUAAAUACUUACAAUGGCUUCCUGAA